UACGUAGGGUGCGAGCGUUAAUCGGAAUUACUGGGCGUAAAGCGUGCGCAGGCGGUUUUGUAAGUCAGAUGUGAAAUCCCCGGGCUUAACCUGGGAACUGCGUUUGAAACUACAAGGCUAGAGUGUGGCAGAGGGGGGUGGAAUUCCACGUGUAGCAGUGAAAUGCGUAGAGAUGUGGAGGAGCACCGAUGGCGAAGGCAGCCCCCUGGGUUAACACUGACGCUCAGGCACGAAAGCGUGGGGAGCAAACAGG
rnacentral:rRNA from 1 species